rnacentral:rRNA from 1 species
AUGGGAACGCGAAGAACCUUACCUAGACUUGACAUCUUCUGCAUUAAUCGUAAUGGAUGAAAUCCCUUCGGGGACAGAAUGACAGGUGGUGCAUGGUUGUCGUCAGCUCGUGUCGUGAGAUGUUGGGUUAAGUCCCGCAACGAGCGCAACCCCUAUUAUUAGUUGCUAACAUUAAGUUGAGCACUCUAGUGAGACUGCCCGGGUUAACCGGGAGGAAGGUGGGGAUGACGUCAAAUCAUCAUGCCCCUUAUGUCUAGGGCUACACACGUGCUACAAUGGUGGGAACAAAGAGAUGCAAGACCGCGAGGUGGAGCUAAACUCAAAACCCCAUCCCAGUUCGGAUUGUAGGCUGAAACUCGCCUACAUGAAGCUGGAGUUGCUAGUAAUCGCGAAUCAGAAUGUCGCGGUGAAUACGUUCCC